AGCCAGACUCCUACGGGAGGCAGCAGUGGGGAAUAUUGCACAAUGGGGGAAACCCUGAUGCAGCGACGCCGCGUGAGCGAUGAAGUAUUUCGGUAUGUAAAGCUCUAUCAGCAGGGAAGAAAAUGACGGUACCUGACUAAGAAGCUCCGGCUAACUACGUGCCAGCAGCCGCGGUAAUACGUAGGGGGCAAGCGUUAUCCGGAUUUACUGGGUGUAAAGGGAGCGUAGACGGCUGUGCAAGCCAGAUGUGAAAGCCCGGGGCUCAACCCCGGGACUGCAUUUGGAACUGUGUGGCUGGAGUGUCGGAGAGGCAGGCGGAAUUCCUAGUGUAGCGGUGAAAUGCGUAGAUAUUAGGAGGAACACCAGUGGCGAAGGCGGCCUGCUGGACGAUGACUGACGUUGAGGCUCGAAAGCGUGGGGAGCAAACAGGAUUAGAUACCCUUGUA
rnacentral:rRNA from 1 species